rnacentral:rRNA from 1 species
UACGAAGGGUGCAAGCGUUAAUCGGAAUUACUGGGCGUAAAGGGUGCGUAGGCGGUUGUUUAAGUCUGUCGUGAAAUCCCCGGGCUCAACCUGGGAAUGGCGAUGGAAACUGGGCAGCUAGAGUGUGUCAGAGGAUGGUGGAAUUCCCGGUGUAGCGGUGAAAUGCGUAGAGAUCGGGAGGAACACCAGUGGCGAAGGCGGCCUUCUGGACCAGCACUGACACUCAAGCACGAAAGCGUGGGGAGCAAACAGG